rnacentral:rRNA from 1 species
CCUACGGGGAGCAGCAGUGAGGAAUAUUGGUCAAUGGACGAGAGUCUGAACCAGCCAAGUAGCGUGAAGGAUGACUGCCCUAUGGGUUGUAAACUUCUUUUAUAUGGGAAUAAAAUGUUCCACGUGUGGGAUUUUGUAUGUACCAUAUGAAUAAGGAUCGGCUAACUCCGUGCCAGCAGCCGCGGUAAUACGGAGGAUCCGAGCGUUAUCCGGAUUUAUUGGGUUUAAAGGGAGCGUAGGUGGAUUGUUAAGUCAGUUGUGAAAGUUUGCGGCUCAACCGUAAAAUUGCAGUUGAAACUGGCAGUCUUGAGUACAGUAGAGGUGGGCGGAAUGCGUGGUGUAGCGGUGAAAUGCUUAGAUAUCACGAAGAACUCCGAUUGCGAAGGCAGUUCACUGGACUGCAACUGACACUGAGGCUCGAAAGUGUGGGUAUCAAACAGGAUUAGAUACCCGGGUAGUC